CCUACGGGUGGCAGCAGUGAGGAAUAUUGGUCAAUGGGCGAGAGCCUGAACCAGCCAAGUCGCGUGAAGGAUGAAGGAUCUAUGGUUUGUAAACUUCUUUUAUAUGGGAAUAAAGUGCGGUACGUGUUCCUUUUUGUAUGUACCAUAUGAAUAAGCAUCGGCUAACUCCGUGCCAGCAGCCGCGGUAAUACGGAGGAUGCGAGCGUUAUCCGGAUUUAUUGGGUUUAAAGGGUGCGUAGGUGGUUAAUUAAGUCAGCGGUGAAAGUUUGUGGCUAAACCCCGGCCCGCCGGUGGAACUGGCAGGCUCGAGUGGGAGAGAAGUAGGCGGAAUGCGUGGUGUAGCGGUGAAAUGCAUAGAUAUCGCGCAGAACUCCGAUUGCGAAGGCAGCAUGCCGGAUCGAAACUGACGCUGAGGCACGAAAGCGUGGGUAGCGAACAGGAUUAGAUACCCGAGUAGUC
rnacentral:rRNA from 1 species